UUAUUACCUCCCUGCCCUUUGGAACACCGCCCGUCCCUGCCCGGGACUGAACCAUUUCCAGAAAACCGGGGAUUGGUGGGCUGACCGGUCUCGGGGCCUCUAAUCCAUGAAAACCGGGUUAAUCCCACUGGUUUGAACCGGGGAAAAGUCCUAACAAGGGAACUGUAGGUGAACCUGCUGCUGGAUCAUUA
rnacentral:rRNA from 1 species